UACGGAGGAUCCAAGCGUUUAUCCGGAAUCAUUGGGUUUAAAGGGUCCGUAGGCGGUUUAAUAAGUCAGUGGUGAAAGCCCAUCGCUCAACGGUGGAACGGCCAUUGAUACUGUUAGACUUGAAUUAUUAGGAAGUAACUAGAAUAUGUAGUGUAGCGGUGAAAUGCUUAGAGAUUACAUGGAAUACCAAUUGCGAAGGCAGGUUACUACUAAUGGAUUGACGCUGAUGGACGAAAGCGUGGGGUAGCGAAACAGG
rnacentral:rRNA from 1 species